rnacentral:sRNA from 1 species
UUUUAGCCCUGAUGGCAAUGGAAAGCCCGGAAUGGUGAUGGCUUACAAUUUUAGCAAGUACAAAGCGACCAACGGAAGCUCUUGUAGUUGCAUAAAAUUGUUGCCAUCGCCAUGAGGACUUGCAAUGUACAGCAGGAUUAGCU